AGAGUUUGAUCCUGGCUCAGAAUCAACGCUGGCGGCGUGCCUAACACAUGCAAGUCGAACGCGAAAGCCCGCAAGGGUGAGUAGAGUGGCAAACGGGUGAGUAACACGUGGGUGACCUGCCUCAGAGUGGGGGAUAACGACCCGAAAGGGUCGCUAAUACCGCAUAACAUCCUGCGCUUGGACGCGCAGAGAUCAAAGCCGGGGAUCGCAAGACCUGGCGCUUGGAGAGGGGCCCGCGGCCGAUUAGCUAGUUGGUGAGGUAAUGGCUCACCAAGGCAACGAUCGGUAUCCGGCCUGAGAGGGCGGACGGACACACUGGGACUGAGACACGGCCCAGACUCCUACGGGAGGCAGCAGUGGGGAAUUGUUCGCAAUGGGCGCAAGCCUGACGACGCAACGCCGCGCGGAGGAUGAAGAUCUUCGGGUCGUAAACUCCUUUCGAUCGGGAAGAACGUUUCCGGGGUGAAUAAUCCCGGGAAGUGACGGUACCGAGAGAAGAGGCCCCGGCUAACUCUGUGCCAGCAGCCGCGGUAAUACAGGGGGGGCAAGCGUUGUUCGGAAUUACUGGGCGUAAAGGGCCAGUAGGCGGCCAACUAAGUCCGACGUGAAAUCCCCAGGCUUAACCUGGGAACUGCGUCGGAUACUGGAUGGCUUGAAUUCGGGAGAGGGAUGCAGAAUUCCAGGUGUAGCGGUGAAAUGCGUAGAUAUCUGGAGGAAUACCGGUGGCGAAGGCGGCAUCCUGGACCGACAUUGACGCUGAACGGCGAAAGCUAGGGGAGCAAACGGGAUUAGAUACCCUGGUAGUCC
rnacentral:rRNA from 1 species